CAGUCGUGUCCGACUCUGUGCGACCCCAUGGACUGCAACCUACCAGGCUUCUCUGUCCAUGGGAUUCUCCAGAAGCACAGACAUCAUCGAAGCAGGACUCUGAUCAACAGCCUCUGGAGACAUGAAAAUGUGUGAGAUGAGCUGGACCCGCUGGCUUGAUCCUGUCCUCUGCAGUGUGCAUGUCCUUGAUUUGAUCCGUCUUCCUCUGCUGGAUUUCCCCAGGCUUUCAUGUGUUUCCUUUCAAGUGCGAGCUUCGGAUGUGACACAUUUUGAAGCUGUGUUAGUAAAUAGACUUAUGUGAAGAGGAUGAGAGAAGACACAGAACUGAUCUUGGAGGUGAUUUUCUGCCAAACUACUCUAGUUAGUCACACCAGCAGUACAGAGAGCCAUCUUUAAAAUCCUUUUAUAUGUACUAGGAUGGGAAAGUUCCUUUCCACUAGAGGGGAAAUCGAUUAUGGUGCUACUGAUAAGAAUAUCAGUAGAACAAAAGGCUCAUGAAGGCAGGGAUUAUUUGUCCUCUUGUACCCAAUGCCUGGCAUAAAGUAGGGAAUUGUAUAUAUUCUACUGAGUGAAUGCAUGAAUGAAAUCCGUGCUAUAUCAAUUGUGCUUUUAUAAUAAAUUUAAAAAUCUU